rnacentral:lncRNA from 1 species
GCGGGGCUGGGACCUGGGCGGGGCCGGGGGCCGAGCACAGACAAGCUGGGCCGGGGGUCGGCGACGGCCGCGGCUGCUGAAGGAAAGUUGCCGGGAUCUGAGCGCCAGCAACCGCCUGAGCCGGAGCCGCCGGAUGAGGACCGCUCUGCAGGGAAGGGCGCGACCUUCGGAGACGCAGCUGGACCGCCCGACUGGACUGCGCAGGGUCGCCCCGGAGCGUGGAGCAGCCGGCGGGGGCCGCGGGCUGGCGGCGUGACUCAGGGCGCGGAUGGCCCAGGGCAGGCGAGGAGCCGGGCCUCAGCUCCGCAGGUACAGAAGAAAGGCCCGCCCGGAAGAGGCCUCUGCGCAGCUUGUGAGCAGCCGCAUCUUCCAGGUGGGUUUCUCUCCCUUCUGGAGCAGACCUGUGUGGACAGCUCAGGAGACUCCUGGGUUCUCGGUCUCUCAGCUUCUUGCAUUAGCAUAAAGUUUCCUCCUUCUUGCAUUAACGUAAAGAGCAAGUUUCCAUCCCCUGUGGGCCCCAUGGGGAUCCCGGAAUUAAUUUGUGACCAAGUCAGGCUGACUUUGCCCAAACCUCCUGCUCCUGGGACUUUAGCAGAUGCCAGCCCUGAGCCCCCAGGGCUGAGAGGUCUAAGUGAGCAGAGACUUGGACUCGGGUCAGAUUCCCUAAGGAUGGGGGGAGCGGCGUGAGAGUUAAAAAGGGGCAUUUUGGGUUAAAAGAAAGAAAAGCUGAGAAUAACACCCAUUAUUUUUCUUUGAUGAGAUAGACUGUUAGCUUGUUAAGACCAGAGAAAGUCUCCGUUAAUAGGGUGGCACAGAAGUGGCAUACGGAUAGAAAACUGACUGCAAGAAAAUUAUUCAGCAGAGGGGUAUCAUGUCUUAAUUAAAAAACAAGCAAUAUUUUUCAACAUAUCGUGCUGGGGCCAUUGGACAUCAAAGGCGAAAUAAAUGAACUUUGUCCUAAACUUCA